rnacentral:lncRNA from 1 species
CUAUAAAUUUUACGCUAAUAAAACUAAAAUAAAUACAAAAUUCGUGCAACGCACGAGAACGCACGAGACACAGACUAGUAUAUAUAAAAUAAGCAUUAGUUACAUGAAACUAGCGCAUAUGCUGCUAAAUACUUUUCCAAAAGCCUUUUGGAAAAUCUAAAACAAAAGAAAGUAAGCCAAUAACUGAUUAUUUUAAAGAGGCAAAAUUAUCUCAAUGUUUGACAUUAAAUUAAGGUAACAUGGACCUAAUAACUCAACUUAUAUACACCUUCAUACUCAUAAAACUUAGAUUCAUUAGAUAAAUUAAUCAAGCAUUCGAAAUCAGAAUCAAGUAGGAGUUGAGCUUAUUUUUCCAAGUUGCUCUGAUAUAUUAUAUAGACACAGAUGUAUUUAUGUACCGUAUAUAAUUGUUUGUCUCGUGUUGAUGAAGAUAUCCAGUUUAUGUAGCCUCAGAUGCACACUUUUUUUUUUCCCUUUAUUGGUUUUGUCAAAUGAAGUAAGAAAACCUGCAGAAUGGAGGAAGAAUAAAAGACCAAGGUUCAAAUAAUGAAAGCAAUUUAAAUAGAAGCUACAAAAGUUUCAGUUAUAUCCAUUACAAGAAAAAAAUUCUAACCGUAUAUCAAAAUUGUUGCUCAAAAAAAAGAUAAGCUGUUCCAGAAAGAAUAUAAGUAUAAACUGGAGGAUUUUGCAAGCUUUCUUACAGAGAAUAAUGAGAUAACUGCACACAAUUAAUUUUAUUAAAAACAUAGAAAAAACCUCUUAUACAGCAAUAUUGAUUACCUCACUACAUAAAGCCAUAUGGCAUUAAAAUAUGAUUUGGAAAGGAAUUCAAUUCGAAGUAUGUGCACAAGAGUAAUAGACGUAAUACUGGACCACAAUAUCUCCUUUGAAAUGGAAAACGAUCAUAAAAAUUUACCAUGUCGAUCACUUUCAACUUAGUUCUUUCACAUCUAAUUUUUGCUUACUUGAGAAGUGCCUGAUAGAACAUCAAAAAAUAGUUAGUUAACUGAAAAUAUAGUCAAAAUAAGGUGCUUGCAGAUGUGAUGCUGUGCAAGUGGAAACGAAUUAACUUCGGCACCAGAUUAUAUAUUGCUCUUCAAAGGGUAUCUUACUUAUAUCCUUGCACAAUAAUUAUUACUCGGAACAUUUAAAAGCCUUUCUGGCCAAAAAGAAAAGAAUUUUAACAUGCUAGUUGGUGUAAAUAAUCAUCUUUUACUUGAAAACAUCAAAAGGGAAGACGUAAGCUUUUGUUAUAUGCUAGUAAUUUCAAAGUGAAUAGAUGUAACGAACAUAUCACAAUGUAAAUGAAAACAGACCAUGAAAAUCUCUCUAGAGUUGCAGUCAAUUAUAGCAGCAUAAUUAAUAAACAUUUUAGGGACAAAAUUUGAAACGACAAUAAGUUUACCGACAGUGGUUAAACUGUCGUUCAUGAAUACAAGCUUUAGCUUUGUUAGGUCAGCAAUCAGCUCAACAAAUUUUCCAAGUUUUGAAUAAGC